UGUAGAUAAGGGAAGUCGGCAAAAU
rnacentral:ncRNA from 3 species